rnacentral:misc_RNA from 1 species
AUGUGUGCUAGUGGCCGACAGGAUAGGUCUAGUGGUAUUAUUCAGGAUCGUGGGAGUGGUUUACGGCAGGAUUCUUGUGGCAGCACUAAACAAGGUGAUUAUAGGAAAGUUGAUCCAAAGGAAGUUGAGAGUCAGAGACUUUAUGGCCACAAUCUUCCUGCUGCUGAUGUGACCUAUGAUCGUACGAGUCGAUACACAGGAAAUGUUAAUGGCACGGAUGAUACAUCCUCAGAAAGUAGCUCAUCUUUGCAAGAUAAGUUAUUUUCUCAAAGUGAAGAUCUUCAUGAUAUGAAAGAUUCUGGCUACGUAGCGCAUAAUGGGGCUAGCAAGUCAUUAAUUCCUAGGGGUGCCAAUAAGAUGCGGUAUAAACCAUCAGGUUACUUGAAAGUGAAGGGUGAAAUUGAAAAUGCUGCCAUUACUGCUGUCAAAAGGCAAUUAGGCAAGCACUAUAGGGAGGAUGGUCCACCACUUGGUGUUGAAUUCCAACCGCUUCCUCCUGGAGCUUUUUCAUCCUCAAGUAGGGAUCCAGUCAAUGCAGGAGCAUUCUAUGUUGGAGAUCUUGCUAGGAUUCAUUCUCCUGAUGUUUCUGGAGUUCGUAAGCAAUCCAGUCUCAGCAGUAGAUAUGAAGUAUAUAGUUCCAAGAUGAUUUCCCAGGAUUCAUAUAUGGAAGGGCCAAGCUGUAACCUCAAGAAUGCAUCUGAUUCUCAUGACAAGAAAUCUCACCACCAAAUAAAACGAAAAUCGACUUCUUACGACUAUUCCAAUUGUACCCCUGGUGGGAAGUCUGCCAUGGAUAAGUAUGAUGAUCUUGCAGCUGAAACUUCUAUUCAUAGCAGCAAAAGAAAUUAUAAGUUGAGCUCUAUGCAUGGUGUUGAAGGCAUAGGACCACAUACUGUUUCUAAUCAUCAUCAUCCUGAUGGUGGUAAAGCUAUUAGCGAACAGACAGACCCUUGGUUGCAUGACUAUGGCAAUGGCAGCCCUAAUAUUGUCCAAAAGAAUGAUUAUACAUCUAAGUCUUUAAAUUUGAUAACUGGGUUCAGUAAAUCUCUUGAUGCACAGGAGAGAGUUCUAUCUACGAUUACGGAAAAGGUCUUUUAUAUAUAUUUUUCUGCUUUGUAUUGUAAUUACUAUACACCUUUCUGCUUUUGUAUUAUAUUGUUUCAAAAUUGACAAUUCUUGUAUUAAAAAGUAGUGGCUUAAUAAUAACUUGUGUAUGCGUAGGAGAAGCCUUAUAGAGAAAUAAAGGGAACAAAAGAAUAUCGAGACACAGUUAGGGUGAGGAUGCAUCCAACAAAUGAAAUGACUGUGAGUUCAUGAUGUGGUCAACUUAUGUCAAUAUUUUGCAUAUAUAUAAAAUACAUAAUAUAUCCAUACAUGCCUAUGUACAUAUAUAUUGCGCGCUCAUACAUUUCAAUUUUGACCCCUCCAUUUUAUGUCUUAAUAUUGAAGAUUUCGAAGAGAUUCAGAGCUGAGUUUUCGCAGCAACAAUAUGUGACAAAAGCAGCAUUUCCUAAUAUGCCCCGAAAGACAAAUUCAAAUAAAGGGUAGGUACAAAUUUCUGCACUGGCUUGUAAUUUAUGCGAAUGCAGUCUUUUUAUGCUAUCUCUGUGCAUCUGCUCAUAUCACACUUGUUUCUGUUAAUUCUCGAUAAAGUUUGACUGAUUGUUGAGUAAAGCCUAUAGUGAUAUUCUCCCUUCAAGGAAAAUCAAGGAAGUGUAUCAAUUCUUGUGAUGUAUUUAGCCAGCAAUUUAGUUUCCAAAUUAAGGAGGUUGAAAGCUGUGAUUGCGUUGGCAGUCAUGUGGUUCAGUUCUCUCUCUCUUCCUUUUUUUUUUAUCUCUUCAAGUUGCAGUGGUCACAUUGUUAAGCCCAGGUAUUGUAUUGACAGCUGUAUGCUUUUGUCAUGAUGGUUAGCACAAAUAGGAUUACUACGAGUAUUGAGGAAGAAUAUGUCAUUGGGUUACAUAAUCCCAGAAACCAUCCUUUAAGUGCUUCUCGUUUGGAGAGGUAGGUGAAGAGAGAAGUGAGAUUGAGAUGCAAAUGUGUUCUAAACCACAUAUUACUAGCGCAAACUGUUUUGGGAAAUGUGUAAGCUUGAGUAUCUAG